AUUUUGGACAAUGGGCGCAAGCCUGAUUCAGCAAUGCCGCGUGCAGGAUGAAGGCCUUCGGGUUGUAAACUGCUUUUGUACGGAACGAAAAGCCCUGGGCUCAUACUCUGGGGUCAUGACGGUACCGUAAGAAUACGCACCCGCGAACUAACUUCCAGCAGCCGCGGUAAUACGUAGGGUGCGAGCGUUAAUCGUAAUUACUGGGCGUAAAGCGUGCGCAGGCGGUUUUGUAAGACAGAGGUGAAAUCCCCGGGCUCAACCUGGGAACUGCCUUUGUGACUGCAAGGCUAGAGUACGGCAGAGGGGGAUGGAAUUCCGCGUGUAGCAGUGAAAUGCGUAGAUAUGCGGAGGAACACCGAUGGCGAAGGCAAUCCCCUGGGCCUGUACUGACGCUCAUGCACGAAAGCGUGGGGAGCAAACAGG
rnacentral:rRNA from 1 species